rnacentral:rRNA from 1 species
GAUGAACGCUGGCGGCGUGCCUAAUACAUGCAAGUCGAGCGAACAGAUAAGGAGCUUGCUCCUUUGACGUUAGCGGCGGACGGGUGAGUAACACGUGGGUAACCUACCUAUAAGACUGGGAUAACUUCGGGAAACCGGAGCUAAUACCGGAUAAUAUUUCGAACCGCAUGGUUCGAUAGUGAAAGAUGGUUUUGCUAUCACUUAUAGAUGGACCCGCGCCGUAUUAGCUAGUUGGUAAGGUAACGGCUUACCAAGGCGACGAUACGUAGCCGACCUGAGAGGGUGAUCGGCCACACUGGAACUGAGACACGGUCCAGACUCCUACGGGAGGCAGCAGUAGGGAAUCUUCCGCAAUGGGCGAAAGCCUGACGGAGCAACGCCGCGUGAGUGAUGAAGGUCUUCGGAUCGUAAAACUCUGUUAUUAGGGAAGAACAUACGUGUAAGUAACUGUGCACGUCUUGACGGUACCUAAUCAGAAAGCCACGGCUAACUACGUGCCAGCAGCCGCGGUAAUACGUAGGUGGCAAGCGUUAUCCGGAAUUAUUGGGCGUAAAGCGCGCGUAGGCGGUUUUUUAAGUCGAAGGUGAAAGCCCCCGGUCCACCCUGGAGGGUCAUUGGAAACUGGAAAACUUGAGUGCAGAAGAGGAAAGUGGAAUUCCAUGUGUAGCGGUGAAAUGCGCAGAGAUAUGGAGGAACACCAGUGGCGAAGGCGACUUUCUGGUCUGUAACUGACGCUGAUGUGCGAAAGCGUGGGGAUCAAACAGGAUUAGAUUCCCUGGUAGUCCACGCCGUAAACGAUGAGUGCUAAGUGUUAGGGGGUUUCCGCCCCUUAGUGCUGCAGCUAACGCAUUAAGCACUCCGCCUGGGGAGUACGACCGCAAGGUUGAAACUCAAAGGAAUUGACGGGGACCCGCACAAGCGGUGGAGCAUGUGGUUUAAUUCGAAGCAACGCGAAGAACCUUACCAAAUCUUGACAUCCUUUGACAACUCUAGAGAUAGAGCUUUCCCCUUCGGGGGACAAAGUGACAGGUGGUGCAUGGUUGUCGUCAGCUCGUGUCGUGAGAUGUUGGGUUAAGUCCCGCAACGAGCGCAACCCUUAAGCUUAGUUGCCAUCAUUAAGUUGGGCACUCUAAGUUGACUGCCGGUGACAAACCGGAGGAAGGUGGGGAUGACGUCAAAUCAUCAUGCCCCUUAUGAUUUGGGCUACACACGUGCUACAAUGGACAAUACAAAGGGCAGCGAAACCGCGAGGUCAAGCAAAUCCCAUAAAGUUGUUCUCAGUUCGGAUUGUAGUCUGCAACUCGACUACAUGAAGCUGGAAUCGCUAGUAAUCGUAGAUCAGCAUGCUACGGUGAAUACGUUCCCGGGUCU